AAGGCCCUGGGUUCGGUCCUCAGCUCCGAAAAAAAGAACCAAAAAAAAAAAAAAAAAAAAAAAAGAAAGAAAGAGCAGAGGCUCUUUAAAUUUGAGGCCAGCCUGGUCUGUGCAGACAGCUCCAGGCCAGCCGGCGCUGUGCAAUGAAACCUUGUCUCAAAAGCAAAGCAAAACUAAAACUAAGAAAUGAUGACGUCAGUGCAGAGACUUGUAUCUGGCCAAAGUGCUGAGAAGAAAGGGCUGUAAGUCCUCCCUCCCUCUAAACGGGAAAUCUCUAUCAACGCCCUCCCCUCUGAGGCUCACGGAAUGUCAGGGAAGGGGAGGCCGAGUGUAAUUAAGAGGCAGAGGAUGCUAGGAAGCGCAAGGCCCUGGGUUCGGUCCCCAGCUCCGAAAAAAAGAACCAAAAAAAAAAAAAAAAAAGGAGGCAGAGGAUGGGCGAGAGUUGAGCAAUGCUGUCAUCACACGGGCUCUCUGCAGCUGUGGCUUCUGGUCCUACUCAACAGACUCAGUCACCGUCCCAGCAGGAACUGAGUGAGCUCACACAUCUUGACGUUACGUGUGGCAGUGCCUGCUUGUAAUCUCAGCACUUGAGGAACAUGAAAGAACAGUUCAGUCUCUCUCAGAGUCAUAGGGAAUUUGUGGCAAUCCUCCUCUCCUAGCCUAUGGGAGACUGUCUCAGGAAAAAUGUGUAGCGUAGCCUAGUGACUCACAGACUCACAAUUCCAGCACUUGGAAGGUAUCUGCACUCAGAUCUCUCUGAGCUGGAGAUCAACAGCCUGGUAAGUUCUAGGCCACCCUGAGCUACAUACAUCUCAGGGUUUCUCUGUGUGACCCUGGCUAUCCUGAAAUGCUCUCUGUAAACCAGGGUGGCCUCUAAUUCAGAGAUCCACCUGCCUCUGCUUCCUAAAUGCUGUGAUUAAAGAAAGGCGUGCCGCUGCCACCACCCAGCCCAGCACUCACUUCCAUCUCAAGGUUACCUUUAUCUGUCAGGAUUUUAUUAGGCUCCUUCUCUAAGGCAAACCCGUGGAGGCGAGAAAGAAGAAGGCACGGAAGUAGGAAAUGGGUUUUGACCUUCCCUGGUUUAACCCAGAUGAGGAAAUAGAGCAGGCUGCUGCAAGCGGCAGGCAAGGAGGAGUUUGCACUUCAAAGCAGACACCACUGCUAGCUGGAGGUUGGGGCAAGCUUCUGGGGGUAGCAGCUUUGUCUUGCCGGAAACUAAGCAGCCUCUGGCCACAGUUUAUGAGAGGCUUGAUUUCGGGCUGUUCCUAAUGUGUCAUUCCAGUAAAGACAGAGACCAGGAAAGUCUGGCAAGCGGUAAAGAGCUGUAUGGGACCUAAGCUGAACCGGAACCGCGAAACAGCAGGAGUUGGAUCGAAGUAAGACUGAAGAGAGAUCGUGGAACCAGGGCAGGAUAUGGAACAAACAAACAAAAAACUAUCGCGGAACCGUUCCGUAUGGGACAUGUCAGCUCCAAAGGAAACUCCAUUUCACCAAAUUCCAAAAGGCAGACAGGACCAAAGCCUAUCCUGUGGUGCCUAUUAGCAAACCAAAGAGCAUGCUGGCCUGGAAGCUCCCUCACAAGUGCAGGCUCCACAUUUCUUUUUUUUUUUUUUUUUUUUUUGGAGCUGGGGACCGAACCCAGGGCCUUGCGCUUCCUAGGUAAGCGCUCUACCACUGAGCUAAAUCCCCAGCCCCAGGCUCCACAUUUCUAAAGUUCUUCUCCUCCCUUACGGUAAACAGCCCCACCUCACGGGCUCUCUCCUCUCCCCGCUCCCCAAUUUCUUAUAACCCUGCUGUUUCGGCUGAAAGGUCUUGGCUCCACCUCUUUUGCACGGCUCCUGAUUCACUCAUGACCAGGUCCUGUUUGCUGGUCCCGUUCAGUCUACUGUUUUUUUCUCUCAGCUCUGGUCUCUUCCAGAUGCCUCUAGCUGUUCUCUCAUAUUUUGAUAAAGAUCGUCACUUUAACCAUACAGAGCAGCCAUGUCCUCAGUUCAUACUUGUCUGGGUAACACCAGCUCCAGUGAGGUAAUGUUUGCCAUAGACUGGGUUUGAAGUGAAGCCUAGCUCCGGAGAACAAGAGUGUCUCAGUGGUUAGGAGCAUACUCACCCUCUGCUGCUAUUCCAGAGGACCUAGGGUUCAAUUACCAGCACCCACAUCAUGGCUGACAGUUAUGUGUGUGACUCUGGUUCCAAGAGAUAUGAUGUCUUUUUCUUACCACUGCUCUGGUGCACAGGCAUAUAUACAUGCAAGCAAAACACCUAUACUCACAAAGUAAAUUAAAAUUAAAAAAAAAUUUUUUAAAGAUUUAUUUAUUUUAUGUAUAGAAGUAGCUGUCUUCAGACACACCAGAAGAGGGCAUCAGAUCUUAUUACAGAUGGUGGUGAGCCACCAUGUGGUUGCUGGGAAUUGAACUCAGGACCUUUAGCACAGCAGCCAGUGCUCUAACCGCUGAGCCAUCUCCCCAGCCCAAAACAAAUUAAAAAUAAAAAAGAUUCAGGAGAAAGUUACUUUCAAGAACAUAGGUCAGGGGUGCGUAUUAGUCAGGGUUCUCUAGAGUCACAGAACUUAUGGAAUGUCCCUCUCUAUAUUAAGGGAAUUUACUAUCAUGACUUACGGUUCUAUUAAUCCGGCAAUGGGCAGCUGUGGAUGGGAAGCUGAGGAAUCUAGCAGUUGCUCAGGUGGGCCUUUCAGCUGGUCUCCUGUAGACGCUGGACUCCUGAAACAGUGGGUUCCAACAGAUGUGCUGAUGACCUUGAACUCUAAAGGACCCUGAGACUCCUUGCCUCAGUCUCCUGGGAUUAAGAGCACGUACUACCUUGACACUAUGCCCCAAGAUCUCCAUAUCAAGAUCCAGGUGAGAAACUCGUGUCUUCCAGCCUGAAGAUCAGGAUCGCAGGUGAGCCCUCCAGUUCUGGAUUGUAGUUCAUUCCAGACGUGGUCAAGUUGACAACCAGGAAUAGCCACCACAGCAUUGUGCAGUCAGGCCUUAAACUUUUGAUCUCUCGGAUGUAACCUCACUGGCAGCUAAGGUGACAGAUCUGUACCAGCAGGCCUGGCAGCUGCAGUCAUUUUAAAAUGUACUUUUCUUUCUUUGUUUUCUAUAGAAUUUUCCCGGACUUAGAGAAGGAUUGCAUUCAGGGCUGGAGAGAUGGCUCAGGGGUCCAGAGUCAUAUUUUCCGGGACACAUAUGACGUUGCUGCUUACAAUGUCAGUUCCAGGUGACCCCCACAUUCUUCUGGCCUCCACAGGAACAUGCAUUCGUGCACAUAUUCACACAUGGACACACACAGAAAUGUACGUAAUUGAAAAUAGUAAAUAUUAUUUUUAGAAAAAAAGAAAGGAAGCCUAACCAUUCUCCAGGACAGUAUUUUUUUUUCAGACCUUAAAUGUUUUAUUUAUUCACUAUUUUUGGUUUUGUUUUUUGUUUUUUUUUUAAUGUGUAUUUUGCCUGUUUGUGUGUCUGUGCACCACUACAUACCUGGUACCUGAAGAAGGAAUCAGAUCCCUAGAACUGUAGUUAUAGACAGUUGUGAGCUGUCACGGGUGUAUUGGGAAUCAAACCUGGGUCCUCUGGAAGAGCAGCCAGCACUCUUAACCUCUGAGCUCUCUGUCCAGCCCCAAUGAGUAAUUAAUUAUUAAUUAUUCUGGGGGCAUGUGUGAUGUGUGUAGGAGGAGGUAGGAAGGCAGGUGUUCUAACACACAGUAUGUGUGGGGAUCAGAAGACAACUUUUGAGAGUUAUCGCUCUCCUUCUACUCUGGAAUCCAGGAUUCAGCUUGUCAGGUUGUCACAGAGCCAUCUUACUGACCCACGUUUAAGAAUGUAAUGAUUUGGACUGGGCUUUGUGACACAUACUUUAAUGCCAGUACUCAGGAGAAAGAGACAUAAGAAUUUCUGUGAGCAGAGUGGUGUUUUGCACACUUUUAACCUCAGCACUCGCGAGGCAGAGGCAGAGGCAGGUGACUCUCUGAGUUUGAAGCCAGUCUGGUCUACGGAGUGAGUUACGGGACGGCCAAGGCACCAGUCAGGACUACAUCUUGGAACUCACUCCGUAGACCAGGCCAGCCUCAAACUCACAGAGAUCCUCCUGCCUCUGCCUCCCAACUACUAGGAUUAAAGGUGUGUGCCAUUUUUUGUUGUUGUUGUUGUUGUUGUUGUUGUUAUUUUUAAGACUUCAAUAAAAUAUUGGUUCUUUUCUCUGUCAUUGCCUGAAAUGUCUUAAUCCCUUAGGAGAGCGUGAGUGUGAGAGGUGAAAAUGUUUAUGGGAGACAUCUGGAAGGCCGCAUCAUCCCUUAGCUGGUUCCGCCCCUCUCCCUCCUCUGUCCUCUGAAUUCCCCUGCUGCGCUGUAUAAUAUUAAGAUUCAUUUGCCUGCCCUCAGAGCAGCUUGGGGACCUGACUAAGAUCUGAGAUGCAAAUGUUAGCUUAAACCAUGUGACAGUAGAGCAUCGACAGGAAACCCACGUAUUUCGGUGUGAGCCAACCUCGGGAAGUCCCGUUAGCUCACGGUGUGGUGUUCUUCCGGGCCUGCCCCCUUUGGUUCUGGGGUACUUCAGUUUGGGAGGCUGUUACUGAGGCGAUGGUCUCCAUUGUGAGGGUAGCCUCCCGGGGCAAUUGACAUCCACAGGGGUUAGGCUACUGAGGAACACUGGGGAGUGGACAUCAAAGGCAAUUAUUGAAAAGCCCAGCUUUGGGGAGUGAAUAGAAGCAGUCACAGAGAAUGUCAUUGGGAGAUAAAUUCCUUCGGUUAAAAUUCUGAAAAUGAAACCCCAGGGCUUUCUAUGAAUAAGAAGUUUGCAGCUAAAGAAGUGGCCAGCCUGUGCUUCCUGUGGUUGAGUGUCUCAUGUUUGCAAAUACACUUCAUCCCAGUGCCUCAAACACAGUUCGAUAACGUUUCCCAAGUCCUCACAUCUGUUCCCUCCACAGUUUCUUCCUGCCUGCCCCGUAGUAAAUAAUUACACUCCCUGCUAUGCACAAGAUACUGCUUCAAGCAAUCUGACCGUGACGGGGUGAGCAGAGAGACACACGGGAGGAACAGGACUCCUGAGUUACCACCUUGACAAUUACAUCUGUCAGGAUUCGCUCCAGGGGGGAGAAACAAAUUCCUCUCUAGCCCAUCACAAAAUCUAGUAAACCUGAUGUUUGAGGGGGUCCCCGUAAACUGAGAGCCCCCCCCCCCCCGCUUCUUUCAGUUUUUGAUUUGUUUUGAGAUGGGAUCUUAUGAGGUAGCCUAGACAGGAUGGAACUCAGAAAAAUGUUAUACUCUAUAGAUGGACAUGGUGUUCUAACUAUAAUCCCAGCACUUGAGAGGCUGAUGCAGGAGGAUUAGGAGUUUGAAUCUUGCCUGAGCUACAUGGCGAAUUCCUGUUUAAAACACCAAGAGCAGCAGCAGCAGCAGCAACAAUAACGAAAAUCUAAAGCUAUAUGCUCACAUUUAUUCUGAUAAUGAGUGGUCUAAGGUAGGGCCAACCGGGACUACAAAGGGAAAAUGGUGUCUCAAAUAAAAACUAACUCUGGAGAUCUUGAACUGAAAUUCAGAUAACUUUGGGGGGCUGGGGGGGGGUGCGCUGCACAGUGGGGAUCAGGUCUAAGCUCUGGUGUCUGCUAAGUGUGGCUAUAUCACUGAACCACAUCUAAAGCCCAGGAAUCUCAAAGAGCUUUGAGAAGCUAAAAACAUUCAGAAGAAUGUGGGCGAAGCAGGGACAGACAAAAACAUAUAAGUCUCACAGCGACAGGAUACGUCACAGCUAUUCACUCGCUCCCCCGUUGCUUGCCUAAGAACACGAGCUCUGUGCUGGGUUCACAAUCCUUCUUUGAGCACAGAUGUGGUUGAGGCAUGGAGUUUCUAGGCCGUGUGGGGCUGACAUUGUAGCUUCUGUGGUUACAGAUCUGUCUCCACGGGAACCGAGCUCCAGCCUUCCUUUGUUUCUUGCAUGGAAUAAAUGAAGCUCAGAGUCACGAGCAGAGAUCAGAAGAAAGAAAAAAAUGAGACCCACCGCCACCAUUUAUAAUUCUGGGUUGUUCUCUGUGUGUAUAUCAUCAUUAAAGGCGUCUGCAUAUGUGUAUGUGGCUAAAAAAUAAUCAAAGCUCUUUAGAGCCAGGCAUGGUGGUGCAUGCCUAUGAUAUAGUACAUGGGAGGGAGAAGUAGGGAGAAGCAGGGAGUAGCAGGGAAAAGAAGGAGAAUAAGGAGUUCAAGGCCACCCUUGGUUUCGUAGUGAGUUUGAGGCCAGUCUAAGGUUAGACACAAGACCCAGUUUUAGAAGACAAACCCCUCUCCCCUCCCAGAUAAAUCUCUUCAAACUUGUGGGGUUUCCCCUUGAUAGGAGCAAAUGUUUUCUGUGUGGGUUGCUGGAAGAUUCAGGAGCUCAGAAAUUCCUAUGACAAUAUUGUGCCCUCGGAAUUUGAAAACCAGUCUUGGGACAGGAUGAAGACAUAGUGUUGUGUUCUAUAAAAAUGAAGAGAGAAGGAAUGUGUUUGGUGGACUUGCAGUCAGGUGUGGGGGAAGGGGGUGCCUCCGAGGGCCUUGCUGAGGCCUCCCUUCCCCCUGAGGGACCAGCCACAUGAUGAGUGUAGUACAGACCGAGUCUAUUUAGGGCAUGGGAGGGGAAUUGAGAGAGUAGUAGAGACAGCUAAGGCCGAGGACCUGAACUUGACCUCCAGAACCCACAUGGCGGAAGGAGAGAACAACUCCUGCAUGUUGUCCUGUGACCCUCACACGUGUGCAACCGUUAGUGGAAGCAGCUGGUAGAGACGCUUACAGGUGAUUAAAGGGCAAUGCACUCGGGUGCCUUCUCUACAGCCCGGGGUCUGCAGCUGCAGACACAAUCAGGAUGCUGCUGCGUAUGGCUCCAUGGCAUGGCUCUUGCAGAGGACGGGAGUUUCCUUCCCAGCCCCUGUGUUGUGUCGUUCACAACUCCCUAUAACUCAAGCUCCAGGGGAUCCAACACACGCCUCUAGCCUCCAUAGGCACCUGUGCACCUCUGCAUAUACCCCACCACACAUGUACACAAUUUAAAAUAAAAUAUUAAAAAAGAAAAGCAAGGGCUGGAGAGAUGGCUCAGUGGUUAAGAGCACUGACUGCUUUUCCAGAGGUCCUGAGUUCAAAUCCCAGCAACCACAUGGUGGCUCACAACCAUCUGUAAUGGGAUCCGAUGCCCUCUUCUGAUGUGUCUGAAGAGAGCAACAGUGUACUUAUAUAUAAUAAAUAAAUAAAUCUUUAAAAAAAUUAAAAAAAAAAAAGCAAAUUGCAUCUGGCUUAACAUA